rnacentral:lncRNA from 1 species
UGAAAACAGCCCUAGUGUCUAUCAACUGAUGAAUGGAUAGAAAAGAUGUGGAAUACAUACAAUGGAAUACUACUCAGCCAUUAAAAUGGAAUAUUGCCAUUUGUAGCGAUGUGGAUGAAGCAACAGACAUGCUAAGUAAAUCACAAGAGAAGAUAGCUACAAAAACAAGAGUUCUGACAGAGGCUUUGGAUUUACUCUGAAGAACCACUGAGCAGCAAACAAAACCAAGUGCUUCUUUGGAGUGAACUUUCUAAGCAGAUUUUUGAAACUGAGACACAAGAGUAUGACCACACUAGCCUCUCUUUUUGUAGGUUCAUCUACAAUCCAAGGAGAAUUUUGUGUUUGAUCAAGGUAGAACAGACCAUUGAGUAUAUUCUGACUGUGAUCAUGAAAAUUUAACAUGGUGCUUGAAACAUAGCCAACACUCAAAAUAUU